rnacentral:rRNA from 1 species
CGGAGGAAAAGAAACCAACAGGGAUUGCCUUAGUAGCGGCGAGUGAAGCGGCAAAAGCUCAAAUUUGAAAUCUGGCGCCUUCGGUGUCCGAGUUGUAAUUUGAAGAUUGUAACCUUGGGGUUGGCUCUUGUCUAUGUUUCUUGGAACAGGACGUCACAGAGGGUGAGAAUCCCGUGCGAUGAGAUGCCCAAUUCUAUGUAAGGUGCUUUCGAAGAGUCGAGUUGUUUGGGAAUGCAGCUCUAAGUGGGUGGUAAAUUCCAUCUAAAGCUAAAUAUUGGCGAGAGACCGAUAGCGAACAAGUACAGUGAUGGAAAGAUGAAAAGAACUUUGAAAAGAGAGUGAAAAAGUACGUGAAAUUGUUGAAAGGGAAGGGUUUGAGAUCAGACUCGAUAUUUUGUGAGCCUUGCCUUCGUGGCGGGGUGACCCGCAGCUUAUCGGGCCAGCAUCGGUUUGGGCGGUAGGAUAAUGGCGUAGGAAUGUGACUUUACUUCGGUGAAGUGUUAUAGCCUGCGUUGAUGCUGCCUGCCUAGACCGAGGACUGCGAUUUUAUCAAGGAUGCUGGCAUAAUGAUCCCAAACCGCCCGUC